rnacentral:rRNA from 1 species
AUUGAACGCUGGCGGCAGGCCUAACACAUGCAAGUCGAGCGGAUGAAGGGAGCUUGCUCCUGGAUUCAGCGGCGGACGGGUGGGUAAUUCAUAGGUAUCUGCCUGGCAGUUGGGGAUAACGUCCGGAAACGGGCGCUAAUACCGCAUACGUCCUGAGGUAGAACGUGGGGGAUCUUCGGACCUCGCGCUAUCUGAUGAGCCUAGGUCGUAUUAGCUAGUUGGUUGGGUAAAGGCCUACCAAGGCGACGAUCCGUAGCUGGUCUGAGAGGAUGAUCAGUCACACUGGAACUGAGACACGGUCCAGACUCCUACGGGAGGCAGCAGUGGGGAAUAUUGGACAAUGGGCGAAAGCCUGACCCAGCCAUGCCGCGUGUGUGAAGAAGGUCUUCGGAUUGUAAAGCACUUUAAGUUGGGAAGAAGAGCAGUAAGUUAAUACCUUGCUGUUUUGACGUUACCAAAAGAAUAAGCACCGGCUAACUUCGUG